UACUAGAGUAGCACUCGCAUAUCAAUAAGCGGAGGAAAAGAAACUAACAAGGAUUCCCCUAGUAACGGCGAGUGAAGCGGGAAGAGCUCAAAUUUGAAAUCUUAAAGGGUUUCCCUUUACGAAUUGUAGUUUAAAGAAGUGUUUUCUGUUGAGGUUUAGGUAAAAGUUCUUUGGAAUAGGACAUCAUAGAGGGUGAGAAUCCCGUAUUUGACCUUUACUUUCAACUUUGUGAUACACUUUCAAAGAGUCGGAUUGUUUGGGAAUGCAGUCCAAAAUGGGUGGUAAAUUUCAUCUAAAGCUAAAUAUUGGCGAGAGACCGAUAGCGAACAAGUACCGUGAGGGAAAGAUGAAAAGAACUUUGAAAAGAGAGUUAAACAGUACGUGAAAUUGUCAAAAGGGAAGCGUUUGACACCAGUGUUGUUUUUCUGAAAAUCAAUUAAAGAACUGUUUAUGCUAAGUUGUUUAGACUUUAUCAGCUAACUGUUUAGUUUUGAGCUUUUCUUUAAUGCACUUUUCAGUUAACAAGUCAACAUCAAUUUCUUUUGCUGUAAAAAAGCUUGAGGAAGGUGGCUUGAGAUUCGUCUUAAGUGUUUAUAGCCUCUUGCCUAUGCAGUCGGAGAGAUUGAGGUCUGCAGCGUAGAUCCUUCGGGGCUAAAUGCAUUUGUGCUGAGUUAUAGCAUUUUAUAGACAACUUGUUGACUAUGAUUUGUCUUGUAGCUUACUCGCUUAUGUUAUUUUACCUACGCUUAGGAUGUUGAUCUCUCACAGUCGAGCA
rnacentral:rRNA from 1 species